AAGAAAUUUAUUUUAAGACUUCUAAUCUUUACUUAGUGAAUAUUUAUUCAUUUUUAUUUCUUA
rnacentral:tRNA from 1 species